rnacentral:rRNA from 1 species
UACGGGGGGGGCAAGCGUUGUUCGGAAUUACUGGGCGUAAAGGGCUCGUAGGCGGCCAACUAAGUCGGACGUGAAAUCCCCAGGCUCAACCUGGGAACUGCGUCCGAUACUGGAUGGCUUGAAUCCGGGAGAGGGAUGCAGAAUUCCAGGUGUAGCGGUGAAAUGCGUAGAUAUCGGAAGGAACAUCAGUGGCGAAGGCGACUUCCUGGCCCGAUACUGACGCUGAGGCGCGAAAGCUAGGGGAGCAAACGGG